GAUGAACGCUGGCGGCGUGCCUAAUACAUGCAAGUCGAGCGGACGGACGAGAAGCUUGCUUCUCUGAUGUUAGCGGCGGACGGGUGAGUAACACGUGGAUAACCUACCUAUAAGACUGGGAUAACUUCGGGAAACCGGAGCUAAUACCGGAUAAUAUUUUGAACCGCAUGGUUCAAACGUGAAAGACGGUCUUGCUGUCACUUAUAGAUGGAUCCGCGCUGCAUUAGCUAGUUGGUAAGGUAACGGCUUACCAAGGCAACGAUGCAUAGCCGACCUGAGAGGGUGAUCGGCCACACUGGAACUGAGACACGGUCCAGACUCCUACGGGAGGCAGCAGUAGGGAAUCUUCCGCAAUGGGCGAAAGCCUGACGGAGCAACGCCGCGUGAGUGAUGAAGGUCUUCGGAUCGUAAAACUCUGUUAUUAGGGAAGAACAUAUGUGUAAGUAACUGUGCACAUCUUGACGGUACCUAAUCAGAAAGCCACGGCUAACUACGUG
rnacentral:rRNA from 1 species